rnacentral:lncRNA from 1 species
CCUAGUCUAUCAAAAGGGGUCCUCUCUCUUGGAUAUCCUAUGAUCAAUUUUUUUGCUAGUUUUUAUUUUUAGAGUCUCUUCUCCUCCUCCUCCUCUCUUCCUCCUCUAGAUCCUCUCUUGCUUUAGAGUGUCCAAAUUGCUUGAAGAAGAAGAAAGAAACCAGCUAUCAAAGUUGCUUGCAGACUAGCACCUCUAAGUCCCUAAUCUGCGCCAGUCUUUGCAUAAAUUUUUUUGUAGAGGUCAGAUGAUUUCGUGUGGCCAUGAGUGAUCUGUGAAACACCCUCUCCAAGUGUUGGACUAAAGAAGAUCAAAAUUCAAUUGGUUUGGAAAUCAUUUCUAAUCUAUUUUGAUCAUAUUGUUAGAUCUAAUAGUUAGAUCUAAUAGUUAGAUCUAGGAUUUCAGCAUCGAUGAGAUCGAUAUGUGUUUUUGUUUUCAGAUCUAAAGUACAUCAUAUUUCAUAUGUUCUUUAUGAUAUGAUAGUAUAGAUUAGAUCUUAUGCAUGUAAUUUAAAUUAAAUAGUUUAAUCUUAUUCUUUCGCUACACAAAAAUUUUGAAAUUGCAUGCAUAGCACUACCUAUGUUUCC